CUCUCGUUUAGAUUGAAGGAGCUUGCUCCUGAUUGAUAAACAUUUGAGUGAGUGGCGGACGGGUGAGUAACACGUGGGUAACCUGCCCUAAAGUGGGGGAUAACAUUUGGAAACAGAUGCUAAUACCGCAUAAAACCUAACACCGCAUGGUGUAGGGUUGAAAGAUGGUUUCGGCUAUCACUUUAGGAUGGACCCGCGGUGCAUUAGUUAGUUGGUGAGGUAAAGGCUCACCAAGACCGUGAUGCAUAGCCGACCUGAGAGGGUAAUCGGCCACACUGGGACUGAGACACGGCCCAGACUCCUACGGGAGGCAGCAGUAGGGAAUCUUCCACAAUGGACGAAAGUCUGAUGGAGCAACGCCGCGUGAGUGAAGAAGGUUUUCGGAUCGUAAAACUCUGUUGUUGGAGAAGAAUGUAUCUGAUAGUAACUGAUCAGGUAGUGACGGUAUCCAACCAGAAAGCCACGGCUAACUACGUGCCAGCAGCCGCGGUAAUACGUAGGUGGCAAGCGUUGUCCGGAUUUAUUGGGCGUAAAGCGAGCGCAGGCGGUUUCUUAAGUCUGAUGUGAAAGCCUUCGGCUCAACCGAAGAAGUGCAUCGGAAACUGGGAAACUUGAGUGCAGAAGAGGACAGUGGAACUCCAUGUGUAGCGGUGAAAUGCGUAGAUAUAUGGAAGAACACCAGUGGCGAAGGCGGCUGUCUGGUCUGUAACUGACGCUGAGGCUCGAAAGCAUGGGUAGCAAACAGGAUUAGAUACCCUGGUAGUCCAUGCCGUAAACGAUGAGUGCUAGGUGUUGGAGGGUUUCCGCCCUUCAGUGCCGCAGCUAACGCAUUAAGCACUCCGCCUGGGGAGUACGACCGCAAGGUUGAAACUCAAAGGAAUUGACGGGGGCCCGCACAAGCGGUGGAGCAUGUGGUUUAAUUCGAAGCAACGCGAAGAACCUUACCAGGUCUUGACAUCCUUUGACCACUCUAGAGAUAGAGCUUUCCCUUCGGGGACAAAGUGACAGGUGGUGCAUGGUUGUCGUCAGCUCGUGUCGUGAGAUGUUGGGUUAAGUCCCGC
rnacentral:rRNA from 1 species